rnacentral:tRNA from 1 species
CGGUCGCGCGGGGUGGCGUCGGUCUCGACCCGGUCCAGGCGGGUGUCGGCCGGCAGUUCCAUCGGAUCGAUGCCGAUGCGGUUGC